GACGAACGCUGGCGGCGUGCCUAAUACAUGCAAGUUGAGCGCUGAAGGUUGGUACUUGUACCAACUGGAUGAGCAGCGAACGGGUGAGUAACGCGUGGGGAAUCUGCCUUUGAGCGGGGGACAACAUUUGGAAACGAAUGCUAAUACCGCAUAAAAACUUUAAACACAAGUUUUAAGUUUGAAAGAUGCAAUUGCAUCACUCAAAGAUGAUCCCGCGUUGUAUUAGCUAGUUGGUGAGGUAAAGGCUCACCAAGGCGAUGAUACAUAGCCGACCUGAGAGGGUGAUCGGCCACAAUGGGACUGAGACCCGGCCCAAACUCCUACGGGAGGCAGCAGUAGGGAAUCUUCGGCAAUGGACGAAAGUCUGACCGAGCAACGCCGCGUGAGUGAAGAAGGUUUUCGGAUCGUAAAACUCUGUUGGUAGAGAAGAACGUUGGUGAGAGUGGAAAGCUCAUCAAGUGACGGUAACUACCCAGAAAGGGACGGCUAACUACGUG
rnacentral:rRNA from 1 species